rnacentral:rRNA from 1 species
CCUGGCGGCACUAGCGCGGUGGUCCCACCUGACCCCAUGCCGAACUCAGAAGUGAAACGCCGUAGCGCCGAUGGUAGUGUGGGGUCUCCCCAUGCGAGAGUGGGGAACUGCCAGGC